GACGAACGCUGGCGGCGUGCUUAACACAUGCAAGUCGAACGGUGAACCUCUUCGGAGGGGAUCAGUGGCGAACGGGUGAGUAACACGUGGGCAACCUGCCCCCGGCUCUGGGAUAACUCCAAGAAAUUGGGGCUAAUACCGGAUGUUCACCGCUUCCCGCAUGGGUGGUGGUGAAAAGGGUUUCCGGCUGGGGAUGGGCCCGCGGCCUAUCAGCUUGUUGGUGGGGUAGUGGCCUACCAAGGCGACGACGGGUAGCCGGCCUGGGAGGGUGACCGGCCACCCGGGGGUGGGAACCGGGCCCGAGUCCCUAGGGGGGGAAGGGGGGGGGAAUUGUGGGGAAGGGGGGGAAGCCGGGCGCAGCGGCGCCGGGGGGGGGAUGGGGGCCUUGGGGUUGAAAACCUUUUCCCGCGGGGACGAAGCGAAAGGGAGGGUACCGGCAAAAAAAGCACCGGCAAACUACGG
rnacentral:rRNA from 1 species